AUUGAACGCUGGCGGCAGGCCUAACACAUGCAAGUCGAACGAGUGGCAGACGGGUGCGUAAUGUCUGGGAAACUGCCCGAUGGAGGGGGAUAACUACUGGAAACGGUAGCUAAUCCCGCAUACCAUCGGAUGUACCCAGAUGGGAUUAGCUAGUAGGUGGGGUAACGGCUCACCUAGGCUACGAUCCCUAGCUGGUCUGAGAGGAUGACCAGCUACACUGGAACUGAGCCACGGUCCAGAAUCCUACGGGAGGCAGCAGUGGGGAAUACUGCACAAUGGGCGCAAGCCUGAUACAGCCAUGCCGCGUGUAUGAAGAAGGCGUUCGGGUUGUAAAGUACUUUCAGCGAGGAGGCGUUACUCGCAGAAGAAGCACCGGCUAACUCCGUGCCAGCAGCCGCGGUAAUUC
rnacentral:rRNA from 1 species